rnacentral:siRNA from 1 species
AUCGUCUUUCAAUGUUAUUUGCCU